UACGUAGGGUGCAAGCGUUGUCCGGAAUCAUUGGGCGUAAAGAGCGUGUAGGCGGCCCGAUAAGUCCGCUGUGAAAGUCCAGGGCUCAACCCUGGGAUGCCGGUGGAUACUGUCGGGCUCGAGUCCGGAAGAGGAGUGUGGAAUUCCCGGUGUAGCGGUGAAAUGCGUAGAGAUCGGGAGGAACACCAGAGGCGAAGGCGGCGACCUGGACAGACACUGACACUCAACUGCGAAAGCGUGGGGAGCAAACAGG
rnacentral:rRNA from 1 species